rnacentral:rRNA from 1 species
CCGGGGUGGAGUAAUGUCUGGGAAACGUGCCUGAUGGAGGGGGAUAACUACUGGAAACGGUAGCUAAUACCGCAUAACAUCGCAAGACCAAAGAGGGGGACCUUCGGGCCUCUUGCCAUCGGAUGUGCCCAGAUGGGAUUAGCUAGUAGGUGGGGUAACGGCUCACCUAGGCGACGAUCCCUAGCUGGUCUGAGAGGAUGACCAGCCACACUGGAACUGAGACACGGUCCAG